rnacentral:tRNA from 1 species
GCCUGGCUGGCUCAGUUGGUAGAGCAUGGGACUCUUGACCUUAAGGUCGUGAGUUCGAGGGAUCCCUGGGUGGCGCAGCGGUUUGGCGCCUGCCUUUGGCCCAGGGCGUGAUCCUGGAGACCCGGGAUCGAAUCCCACGUCGGGCU